GUGGGGAAUUUUGGACAAUGGGCGCAAGCCUGAUCCAGCCAUGCCGCGUGCAGGAAGACGCAUCUAUGGUGUGUAAACUGCUUUUGUACGGGAAGAAACACUCCCUCGUGAGGGAGCUUGACGGUACCGUAAGAAUAAGGAUCGGCUAACUCCGUGCCAGCAGCCGCGGUAAUACGGAGGAUCCAAGCGUUAUCCGGAAUCAUUGGGUUUAAAGGGUCCGUAGGCGGUUUAAUAAGUCAGUGGUGAAAGCCCAUCGCUCAACGAUGGAACGGCCAUUGAUACUGUUAGACUUGAAUUACAAGGAAGUAACUAGAAUAUGUAGUGUAGCGGUGAAAUGCUUAGAUAUUACAUGGAAUACCAAUUGCGAAGGCAGGUUACUACUUGUGGAUUGACGCUGAUGGACGAAAGCGUGGGGAGCGAACAGGAUUAGAAACCCUGGUAGUCC
rnacentral:rRNA from 1 species